rnacentral:rRNA from 1 species
GAUGAACGCUGACAGAAUGCUUAACACAUGCAAGUCUACUUGAACUUCGGUUUGGGUGGCGGACGGGUGAGUAACGCGUAAAGAACUUGCCUCACAGAUAGGGACAACAUUUGGAAACGAAUGCUAAUACCUGAUAUUAUGAUUUUAGGGCAUCCUAGAAUUAUGAAAGCUAUAUGCACUGUGAGAGAGCUUUGCGUCCCAUUAGCUAGUUGGAGAGGUAACGGCUCACCAAGGCGAUGAUGGGUAGCCGGCCUGAGGGGGUGAUCGGCCACAAGGGGACUGAGACACGGCCCUUACUCCUACGGGAGGCAGCAGUGGGGAAUAUUGGACAAUGGACCAAGAGUCUGAUCCAGCAAUUCUGUGUGCACGAUGAAGUUUUUCGGAAUGUAAAGUGCUUUCAGUUGGGAAGAAAAAAAUGACGGUACCAACAGAAGAAGUGACGGCUAAAUACGUG